AUUGAACGCUGGCGGCAUGCCUUACACAUGCAAGUCGAACGGCAGCACGGGAGCAAUCCUGGUGGCGAGUGGCGAACGGGUGAGUAAUAUAUCGGAACGUGCCCGGUCGUGGGGAUAACGUAGCGAAAGCUACGCUAAUACCGCAUACGAUCUACGGAUGAAAGCGGGGGAUCGCAAGACCUCGCGCGAUUGGAGCGGCCGAUAUCAGAUUAGGUAGUUGGUGAGGUAAAGGCUCACCAAGCCGACGAUCUGUAGCUGGUCUGAGAGGACGACCAGCCACACUGGGACUGAGACACGGCCCAGACUCCUACGGAGGCAGCAGUGGGGAAUUUUGGGACAAUGGGCGCAAGCCUGAUCCAGCAAUGCCGCGUGCAGGAUGAAGGCCUCGGUU
rnacentral:rRNA from 1 species